rnacentral:rRNA from 1 species
AUUGAACGCUGGCAACAUGCCUUACACAUGCAAGUCGAACGGCAGCACGGGUGCUUGCACCUGGUGGCGAGUGGCGAACGGGUGAGUAAUACAUCGGAACAUGUCCUGUAGUGGGGGAUAGCCCGGCGAAAGCCGGAUUAAUACCGCAUACGAUCUACGGAUGAAGGCGGGGGACCUUCGGGCCUCGCGCUAUAGGGUUGGCCGAUGGCUGAUUAGCUAGUUGGUGGGGUAAAGGCCUACCAAGGCGACGAUCAGUAGCUGGUCUGAGAGGACGACCAGUCACACUGGGACUGAGACACGGCCCAGACUCCUACGGGAGGCAGCAGUGGGGAAUUUUGGACAAUGGGCGAAAGCCUGAUCCAGCAAUGCCGCGUGUGUGAAGAAGGCCUUCGGGUUGUAAAGCACUUUUGUCCGGAAAGAAAUCCUUGGCCCUAAUACGGUCGGGGGAUGACGGUACCGGAAGAAUAAGCACCGGCUAACUACGUG